AUUGAACGCUGGCGGCAGGCCUAACACAUGCAAGUCGAACGAGUGGCGGACGGGUGAGUAAGGUCUGGGAAACUGCCUGAUGGAGGGGGAUAACUAAUGGAAACGGAAACUAAUACCGCCUACAAUCAGAUGUGACAAGAUGGGAUUGGCUAGUUGGUGGGGUAACGGCGAACCAAGGCGACGAUCCUGAGCUGGUCUGAGAGGAUGACCCGCCACACUGGAACUGAGACACGGUCCAGACUCCUACGGGAGGCAGCAGUGGGGAAUAUUGCACAAUGGGCGCAAGCCUGAUGCAGCCAUGCCGCGUGUAUGAAGAAGGCCUUCGGGUUGUAAAGUACUUUCAGCGGGGAGGCGUUACCCGCAGAAGAAGCACCGGCUAACUCCGUGCCAGCAGCCGCGGUAAUUC
rnacentral:rRNA from 1 species